UAAUACGAAAGGUGCAAGCGUUACUCGGAAUCACUGGGCGUAAAGCGCACGUAGGCGGACUUACAGGUCAAUUGUGAAAUACCUGGGCUCAACCCAGGAACUGCAGUUGAAACCGUUUGUCUUGAAUACUUGAGAGGGUGGGGGAAUACCUGGUGGAGAAGUGAAAUUCGUAGAGAUCAGGUGGAACACCGGAGGCGAAGGCGCCUGCCUGGCAAUGUAUUGACGCUGAGGUGCGAAAGUGCGGGGAGCAAACAGGAUUAGAUACCCUGGUAGUCCGCACCGUAAACGAUGGAUACUAGGCGUUCGGAGAGUUAACCCUCUGAGUGCCAAAGUUCACACAUUAAGUAUCCCGCCUGGGAAGUACGGUCGCAAGACUA
rnacentral:rRNA from 1 species